rnacentral:rRNA from 1 species
AGCCCGGCCGCCAGCGGCGCUCGCAAAGUUCGGAUCCGCAAGGACCGGGCCAGCGGGACGUCAGGACGUGGCAGGGUGCACUUUCUCCGCGGUCGAGUGCUACGACCGGUUUCGAGGCGGUCAGAAGCCCGGCGGAAAGGUAGCGCCGCCCUUCGGGGUGUCGUGUUAUAGGCCGCCGCGGUGGACUCGCCGCGAGACCGAGGACGCUUGCCGCGCCGAGCGGUCCCGGGCCGUCUUGGGAGGUUCGACCUCGGCUGCACUGCUCCGCAGAGCACCGUAACCGCCGCCCUAGCACGGGUCCGGAGACUGCCGGCGCCUCGGGUCAGUAGCG